rnacentral:rRNA from 1 species
CCUACGGGAGGCAGCAGUGGGGAAUAUUGCACAAUGGGGGAAACCCUGAUGCAGCGACGCCGCGUGAGUGAAGAAGUACUUCGUUACGUAAAGCUCUAUCAGCAGGGAAGAAACACUGACCUUACGGUCAGCAGCCGGUACCUCAGUCAGAAGCCACGGCUAACUACGUGCCAGCAGCCGCGGUAAUACGUCGGGGGCAAGCGUUAUCCGGAUGUACUGGGGGUAAAGGGAGCGUAGACGGUGCGCCAAGUCAGGAGUGAAAUGCCGCAGCUUAACUGUGGAAUUGCUUUGGAAACUGGCGAACUAGAGUGCAGGAGGGGUGAGCGGAAUUCGUAGUGUAGCGGUGAAAUGCGUAGAUAUUAGGAGGAACACCGGUGGCGAAGGCGGCUUACUGGACCGUAACUGACGUUGAGGCUCGAAAGCGUGGGGAGCAAACAGGAUUAGAUACCCGUGUAGUC